UACAGAGGGGGCAAGCGUUGUUCGGAAUUACUGGGCGUAAAGGGCGCGUAGGCGGCCUUCUAAGUCGGACGUGAAAUCCCCGGGCUCAACCCGGGAACUGCGUCCGAUACUGGAAGGCUUGAAUCCGGGAGAGGGAUGCGGAAUUCCAGGUGUAGCGGUGAAAUGCGUAGAUAUCUGGAGGAACACCGGUGGCGAAGGCGGCAUCCUGGACCGGCAUUGACGCUGAGGCGCGAAAGCUAGGGGAGCGAGCAGG
rnacentral:rRNA from 1 species